rnacentral:rRNA from 1 species
AACGAACGCUGGCGGCAUGCCUAACACAUGCAAGUCGAACGAGACCUUCGGGUCUAGUGGCGCACGGGUGCGUAACGCGUGGGAACCUGCCCUUAGGUUCGGAAUAACUCCCCGAAAGGGGUGCUAAUACCGGAUAAUGUCUUCGGACCAAAGAUUUAUCGCCUUUGGAUGGGCCCGCGUUGGAUUAGCUAGUUGGUAGGGUAAAAGCCUACCAAGGCGACGAUCCAUAGCUGGUCUGAGAGGAUGAUCAGCCACACUGGGACUGAGACACGGCCCAGACUCCUACGGGAGGCAGCAGUGGGGAAUAUUGGACAAUGGGCGAAAGCCUGAUCCAGCAAUGCCGCGUGCGUGAUGAAGGCCUUAGGGUUGUAAAGCUCUUUUACCCGGGAUGAUAAUGACAGUACCGGGAGAAUAAGCUCCGGCUAACUCCGUG